GACGAACGCUGGCGGCGUGCUUAACACAUGCAAGUCGAACGGAAAGGCCCUGCUUUUGUGGGGUGCUCGAGUGGCGAACGGGUGAGUAACACGUGAGUAACCUGCCCUUGACUUUGGGAUAACUUCAGGAAACUGGGGCUAAUACCGGAUAGGAGCUCCUGCUGCAUGGUGGGGGUUGGAAAGUUUCGGCGGUUGGGGCUGGACUCGCGGCUUAUCAGCUUGUUGGUGGGGUAGUGGCUUACCAAGGCUUUGACGGGUAGCCGGCCUGAGAGGGUGACCGGCCACAUUGGGACUGAGAUACGGCCCAGACUCCUACGGGAGGCAGCAGUGGGGAAUAUUGCCCAAUGGGCGGAAGCCUGAUGCAGCAACGCCGCGUGCGGGAUGACGGCCUUCGGGUUGUAAACCGCUUUCGCCUGUGACGAAGCGUGAGUGACGGUAAUGGGUAAAGAAGCACCGGCUAACUACGUG
rnacentral:rRNA from 1 species